UAUUUACUACUUUUUAAUUUCUGCACAAUAAAAUCAGAGGGGGACAUUACAAUAGAUCAUUCUAUUUCUCUUAACAGCAUAGCAAUGAGUUACAGGACGUUUGGUAAAUUAACAAAACAAUUAGAAAGUCAUGACAGAAAAGUAGGAAUCAGGAAACUGCCUUUGGAAAUUAAAAAGAACUUGGAGCCAUGGUCUUCAAGGGGUUGAAAAGAAAUCCCAACAGCCCUGACUUACAGGAAGCUGUCCACAGGUGAAAAUCCAGCUCUUAACAGUAACCCACCAGCACUGUCUGGGACUGAACCUGGACAGUUGGAACCAGCCUGCUCCUUUCAUAACGUAAGGAAGCAAUAGCCAGCAUUUCUGUUAGCUGUGAGGAUCCCCUGGGAUUUGUCAUUUGGUGCUCUGACAAAUGGGUAGAAGUCAGAAGGUUUUCCCUGUUUUUUUAAGCCAACAUAACAAGGGCUGUGUGGUGCUCUUGUAGGGAUUUAGAAACAAACUUUCUUACAGUGCCAGAUGUUCUCCUUUUGAUAAUGCAGUCCUUUUAUCCAGCACUUAAAAGGACUCUGCGGUCUCAAAACCUAGACAGUUGUUGCAAGUCCACAAAGCCAGCGAAGCUGCCAACACCGUCAGAUGGUGGCGAACCCGUUCCAAAUGCAUUUGACUCUCCAAGGGAGGGAGCUGAAUGCAGCUGGGAGGCUCAGCCCCACCACCCCAGGGAUCCUCCCGGUGCAGCAGCCUCCGGAGCAGAAAGAACAAGAAGCUCCAAAAGCCUGCAGGUCUCAAUGCAAUCCUUCUGGACUUUUGGACUCCGCUGACGAGGCCAGAACUGGACCCUGUGGUUUCCUCCAGCUGAAUGGAGUCACGGCUGCUCCCGCUCCCGGCACCGAGCGAGG